UGGCUCAAUGGUUAAGAGCGCUGACUGCUCUUCCAGAGAAUCUGGGUUCAAUUCCCAG
rnacentral:tRNA from 1 species